rnacentral:lncRNA from 1 species
GCUACAUCCAAGAUAGAUUUUACUAAAAGCUUUGAAAAAGAAUCUAGAUCGACAAAAAUUAUAGUGGAUCUAAAGUUUUGAAGGCUAAACCUAAGAAGAAAAGGAGAAGAGUUGAAAAACUCGAUUUUGUUAGAAUUUCCCCUCUUUCUCUAAUUUCUUAUAAAUCCUAAGUUAAAAGAAGAAAAGAAGCUGAAAAAGGAAAAUAGAGGACCCUCUCAUGUGU